rnacentral:rRNA from 1 species
GAUGAACGCUGGCGGCGUGCCUAAUACAUGCAAGUCGAGCGAAUGGAUUAAGAGCUUGCUCUUAUGAAGUUAGCGGCGGACGGGUGAGUAACACAUGGGUAACCUGCCCAUAAGACUGGGAUAACUCCGGGAAACCGGGGCUAAUACCGGAUAACAUUUUGAACCGCAUGGUUCGAAAUUGAAUGGCGGCUUCGGCUGUCACUUAUGGAUGGACCCGCGUCGCAUUAGCUAGUUGGUGAGGUAACGGCUCACCAAGGCAACGAUGCGUAGCCGACCUGAGAGGGUGAUCGGCCACACUGGGACUGAGAAACGGCCCAGACUCCUACGGGAGGCAGCAGUAGGGAAUCUUCCGCAAUGGACGAAAGUCUGACGGAGCAACGCCGCGUGAGUGAUGAAGGCUUUCGGGUCGUAAAACUCUGUUGUUAGGGAAGAACAAGUGCUAGUUGAAUAAGCUGGCACCUUGACGGUACCUAACCAGAAAGCCACGGCUAACUACGUGCCAGCCGCCGCAGUAA